rnacentral:rRNA from 1 species
AUUGAACGCUGGCGGCAGGCCUAACACAUGCAAGUCGAGCGGAUGAAGGGAGCUUGCUCCUGGAUUCAGCGGCGGACGGGUGAGUAAUGCCUAGGAAUCUGCCUGGUAGUGGGGGAUAACGUCCGGAAACGGGCGCUAAUACCGCAUACGUCCUGAGGGAGAAAGUGGGGGAUCUUCGGACCUCACGCUAUCAGAUGAGCCUAGGUCGGAUUAGCUAGUUGGUGGGGGAAAGGCCUACCAAGGCGACGAUCCGUAACUGGUCUGAGAGGAUGAUCAGUCAAACUGGAACUGAGACACGGUCCAGACUCCUACGGGAGGCAGCAGUGGGGAAUAUUGGACAAUGGGCGAAAGCCUGAUCCAGCCAUGCCGCGUGUGUGAAGAAGGUCUUCGGAUUGUAAAGCACUUUAAGUUGGGAGGAAGGGCAGUAAGUUAAUACCUUGCUGUUUUGACGUUACCAACAGAAUAAGCACCGGCUAACUUCGUG